rnacentral:tRNA from 1 species
CAAAAAAUAGUUUAAUUAAAAUAAUAAUUUUGGGAAUUAUUGAUGUUUCUAUAAAAAAAUUUUUUUGA